GCUCCGGUAGCCUAGUGGUUAGAAAGUUCGCCUCGGAUGCGGAAGGUCGUGGGUUAGAUACCCGGCCGAGUCA